rnacentral:lncRNA from 1 species
CUUGCCUUGCCUUGUGGUUCUUCUACUCUGUCUGAGACUCUUCUCCUCCUCCUCCUCCUCCUCCUCCUCCUCCUCCCUGGCUAGCUACUACCUAGCAGCAGCUGGUGUCUGGUAUAUGUUAGUAGCGUACCAUAACCAUUGGGAAGUAGAGUAGAGAUGCAAAGUCCCCCUGCAAACUGCAUCCAAUCUUUGCUUUACUUUCUGUCCAUUCUUAGCUGUUUAUGAAGGUCAACCUUAAUUUCAUAUGCUUCCUUUCACUCUCUCUUUCUCUACCAGGCUACCAGACUAACAGCUGCUCACUCUCACUUCAAUUUCAGUUCAAAACUUUUGCAUAUAAAUAUAUAGGAGGAAAGGAGUGAUCCAACUUUUUAUGUGAUCCUGUAAUUCCUAGCUAAGCUACUUUCUCCUUCCUUAACCUCAGCUGAAACAUUUUUCAUCAAGUGGCAGGCAGACACUUCUUCUUCUCUUGAGUCUUGAGUCUUGAACCUUGAGGUAUACAAACCAGCAAUUAUAUUUUUUUAAUGCUGAUUUAGGAACCCUCCCUCUUGUUGUCUCUCUCAUCCACCUCUUCUUUGUAUAGUAUAGCGUAUCCAAAUUCCAAGUCCCUGUUUUAAAAUGGCGGUUUUAGAUGCUAUUUCGGGUCUCUUUUGUUGAGCGGGAGCAGAGCAUGUGGUUUUUGACACAUUCAUGC